CAGGAGGGGAACCAAUCAGCGGGGUGCAAUGACAGCCGGCCUCAAACCCCCUGACAUGUUCAGCAGUUGCUACAGUCACAGAAGCCCUUAAGGGAAGAUGUAAGGUUCCAGAAGGCUUUUCAUCCAAGUAAUUUCAAGAUAAAGAUUCAGCAGAUAUCCUGACUGGAAUGUGUGGCAAAGACCUUUUUUCCUAUUAAGAAAUUCAGUAACUUCUACAGUGUUAUCUUGUGAGCUGAACAGAACAACUGAAUUGGAAUGGGAGAAUUCCAAGUGACGACAACUAACUUA